AGUGUCGUCCUUAAAGCGGCUGUAAUGCACAAACAAACCAAACUGUUUGUGCAUUACAGCCGCUUUAAGGACGACACUAUCUGAUGAA
rnacentral:pre_miRNA from 1 species